rnacentral:rRNA from 1 species
UGGGGAAUUUUCCGCAAUGGGCGAAAGCCUGACGGAGCAACGCCGCGUGAGGGAGGAAGGCUUUUGGGUUGUAAACCUCUUUUCUCAAGGAAGAUAAUGACGGUACUUGAGGAAUCAGCAUCGGCUAACUCCGUGCCAGCAGCCGCGGUAAUACGGAGGAUGCAAGCGUUAUCCGGAAUAAUUGGGCGUAAAGCGUCCGCAGGCGGCUAGUUAAGUCUGCUGUUAAAGCCCGCAGCUCAACUGCGGAUCGGCAGUGGAAACUGAUUAGCUAGAGUGCGGUAGGGGUAGAGGGAAUUCCCGGUGUAGCGGUGAAAUGCGUAGAUAUCGGGAAGAACACCAGUGGCGAAGGCGCUCUACUGGGCCGCGACUGACGCUGAGGGACGAAAGCUAGGGGAGCGAAAGGGAUUAGAUACCCCGGUAGUCC